AUGAAAAAAACUAAAUGAAUAUGCAGAUUAAAUAUAUCUAAGCUUUCGAGAUUUAUUCUAAGAAAACAAGUAACUUGAAAGAUGUUUGAGGAACUAUCCUUAUAACUAAUACGUAAGAUAUAAGACUAUGAGAAGAACUUAACUAAACUUUCCAAGAACAUCAAGUUGAAUAUGAUUGAAUUGAAUAUGCAGAGACAUGGUUAAUAAAAACAUGUUAUAUUUUUAGUGUAAGAAAUAAAUUUUUUAAAAUUUCACCGUCUCACAAUCUAAACAUAUAACAAAAAAAACAAGGAUUUAUAAAUUAAAAAAAAACUAAGAAUCUAGAAGAAAAAUAAAAAACAACUCAAGCACAUUCUUUUUUCAGAUGAACUAAUAUAGUUGGACUUUUCAAAAACAAUUACAAAUCAUAUUUAUGUUUCAAACCCAAUGCAUUCAACUUUACUUUAUAUGAACAGACAUUAUAUAAAAUAAUUUAUAAAUAGUAAUACAUAAACCCGCACGUAGUGCAGGUACUCAUCUAGUACAAAAUAAAACAGAUAAGGCCCAAGCCCAACAUAGCCAUAAGGCCAAAAGCUCUAAAAAAACUAGUAUUAAGCCGAGCUCGGUUUUCGCAUUUAAUGAGAAGGGUCUGAUCAACCUAAAAUCUCAGAACAUAGCC
rnacentral:sRNA from 1 species